rnacentral:rRNA from 1 species
GACGAACGCUGGCGGCGUGCCUAAUACAUGCAAGUAGAACGCACAGUUUAUACCGUAGCUUGCUACACCAUAGACUGUGAGUUGCGAACGGGUGAGUAACGCGUAGGUAACCUGCCUGGUAGCGGGGGAUAACUAUUGGAAACGAUAGCUAAUACCGCAUAAUAUUAAUUAUUGCAUGAUAAUUAAUUGAAAGGUGCAAUUGCACCACUACCAGAUGGACCUGCGUUGUAUUAGCUAGUAGGUGAGGUAACGGCUCACCUAGGCGACGAUACAUAGCCGACCUGAGAGGGUGAUCGGCCACACUGGGACUGAGACACGGCCCAGACUCCUACGGGAGGCAGCAGUAGGGAAUCUUCGGCAAUGGACGGAAGUCUGACCGAGCAACGCCGCGGGAGUGAAGAAGGUUUUCGGAUCGUAAAGCUCUGUUGUAAGAGAAGAACGGGUGUGAGAGUGGAAAGUUCACACUGUGACGGUAUCUUACCAGAAAGGGACGGCUAACUACGUG